CAGGCGGGCCCCGAGGGGAGCUGCGGGCCGGGAGGGGCGGCGCGCGCUGCCCCCUGGAGGCCCGCCUGGCGCGGUGCGCGCACCGCGCACGGACGCUGGUGCGGCGGCGGCGCUGCCGCUGGUGAGGCGGCGGCGCUGCGUCCUCCAAGUCCACCUGGGGAACCGAGGGCUCAGGGUGCCGGGCGCCUGGACGUGGAGGAGGCCACCGGGGGCGGUGGGCGUGGAGUCUGUGGUCCCCUUCUCACCACCCGCACCCUGUCCUUAGCACGAUGGCCAGCCCUACUGCCACAAGCCCUGCUACGGAAUACUCUUCGGACCCAAGGGAGUGAACACGGGAGCCGUGGGCAGCUACAUCUAUGACAAGGACCCUGAAGGCAAAGCUCAGCCCUAGGCCCCCGGGCCGCUCUGUGCGGGUCCCUGACCCCAGGCCCACUGCUUGGCUGCGCGGGGAGAGUGCCCGCUGCCCAGGCCGCCUCUGCACCUGCAAGUCCAGGGCCAGAGAGCUGGGGGAGGGCCCUAACCCCAGGACCCUGCCCCGUCCCUGUCUCCGGGUGUAUCUGCCUGUGUGUCCCCGACGGCCCGCUGCCCCCUUUCGUCCUGGCCCCACGUGUCCCCACGUCGGGGUCUCGUGGCCCCACAUGCCCCUGGUGUCUCUGUGGCCUGGGUGACCUUUCUGAGGUGGAGCCGCCCCCAUCCCGCCCACAGUGUUAUUUAUGCCCCACUUGCCAGUGACAGCCACAGCCACGCCCCUCACCGUGUUCCUCCCGCCUGCCGCGCCAGCGCCCGCCCACCGCCCUCACGUGGCUCACACUCUGAGUGCUGGGACUUUUGCUACCAAUAAAAGGUCUGAAGGUCAAGGGCGCACGUGUCUGCAACUCUGGGGCGGACUCGCAGCCGAGGGCCCAUCGCUCAGUGCAAGUGCCCCCAGCAUGUCUGGGCCCGGUUUCAGGAAGCAGGUUGAGACAGCUGAGCCAGGCCGGGCUCAUUGUCCUUCGAGCAGCCAUCCGUGUCCCUCGGGUGGAGCGGCCGGCUCGGUGUCCGCAAUCCCAAGCCGCCCUCCCUCCUCCAGGCCCGUCCGGGCGUCCAGCGUGGGCAGCAGUGUCUCCUUGGAUUUGGCCGGCGCCGGGAACGCAGCCAGGAUGUGCAAGGCGGGUUGGCCUGCCCCGGGGGGUGGGAGGCCCUGGUGCAGGUACCCCAGGGGCGCCCCACUUUCACCCCGGGCAGAGGUAAGGGGUGCACUCAAGAGGAGCGGCUGGGACGACUCUUCCCAUUCCCGCCUCCCUCCUGCUAAGCCGAAGCUCCCUGGUUGGGGGGGUCGUUGGGGGCACCCCCAGGCCCGCCCUUGCCGAGGGCUCCUCUUGCCGGAUGGAAACUUCCUGCCGUCCAGCCAGUGGGGGCUGCUGAGAGCACAGCUGGGCCCCUCUUCCUCUGUGAAGCUCCAGUGGAAACUACGCGAGGGAAACGCGAUCUUCUGGGAGCCCGUCCCCCAGACCCGGGAGGAGGGGCGCCUAUUGUGUGACUGCCGCCUUGCGGGCAGGGUGAGGGGCACCGGGUCCCCCAGAGGGCGGAUCGGCCGCAACCUGCUUGGCGCUAGUGCCUCCCACUCGCGGGGUCUGGCCGGGGAGGCCGCGUUCCGUUUCCUGCUCGCGGGAGAGUGCUGA
rnacentral:lncRNA from 1 species